rnacentral:lncRNA from 10 species
AGGGAAUCUCCCUGUUGCAUACACUGGAAUGCAGCGGUGCAUUCAUAGCUCACUGCACUCUCCAACUCCUAGACUCAAGUAAUCCUCCAGCCUUAGUCUCCCAAGUAGCUGGGACUACAGAUGAGUGCCACCAGGCUCGGUUAAUUUCUUUUUAUUUUAUGUAGAGACCAGGUCUCCCUAUUUUGCCCAGGCUGAUCUCAAACUCCUGGCCUCAAACAAUCCUCCCAACAUGAGCCACAACGCUUGGCCCAGAAUCUACUACUAUUGACACUGGUGAUUUAGUCAACAUUAUCUAGGCUUAAAUUGAGGAACUGUCCUCACCAUCUGAGAUUAGACAAAUUAGCUAAACUGUGUCUCAGUUUCCUCACACGUAAAAUGGUGAAUACUCAAUUCACAGGUUUU